UCUUGAUCUACUAUGUGAUUAUGUACCUGAUGAUGAUGGUGAAGAUGCGGCAGUCAUAAUUGAGAAUUUCCUAAAAGCUUGAAGUUUAUUUCUUGGCUCCUUGCUAAGAAAUGGAAGGCUAGGAUUGCAAAUUGCAAGUGCAGGCUUUGCAACCAUCCAUUUUCGUUUGCAAUGAUCACAU